rnacentral:rRNA from 1 species
GAUGAACGCUGGCGGCGUGCCUAAUACAUGCAAGUCGAGCGAACAGACGAGGAGCUUGCUCCUCUGACGUUAGCGGCGGACGGGUGAGUAACACGUGGAUAACCUACCUAUAAGACUGGGAUAACUUCGGGAAACCGGAGCUAAUACCGGAUAAUAUAUUGAACCGCAUGGUUCAAUAGUGAAAGACGGUUUUGCUGUCACUUAUAGAUGGAUCCGCGCCGCAUUAGCUAGUUGGUAAGGUAACGGCUUACCAAGGCAACGAUGCGUAGCCGACCUGAGAGGUGGAUCGGCCAACCUGGACUUGAGACACGGUCAAGACUCCUACGGGAGGAAGCAGUAGGGAAUCUUCGGCAAUGGGCGAAAGCUUGACGGAGAAACGCCGGGGGAGUGAUGAAGGUCUUCGGAUCGUAAACCUCUGUUAUUAGGAAAGAACAAAUGUGUAAGUAACUAUGCCCGUCUUGACGGUACCUAAUAAGAAAGCAACGGCAAACUACGU